rnacentral:rRNA from 1 species
CGAAGAACCUUACCUAGGCUUGACAUGCGCGGAAAUCUCGCAGAGAUGCGGGGUCCGUAAGGGCCGUGCACAGGUGGUGCAUGGUUGUCGUCAGCUCGUGUCGUGAGAUGUUGGGUUUAGUCCCGCAACGAGCGCAACCCUCGUCCUCUGUUGCCAGCGCGUAAUGGUGGGGACUCAUAGGAGACUGCCGGGGUCAACUCGGAGGAAGGUGGGGAUGACGUCAAAUCAUCAUGCCCCUUAUGUCCAGGGCCGCAAACAUGCUACAAUGGCCGGUACAAAGGGCUGCGAUACCGUGAGGUGGAGCGAAUCCCAAAAAGCCGGUCUCAGUUCGGAUUGGGGUCUGCAACUCGCCCCAUGAAGUCGGAGUCGCUAG